AUCCUUCUGUAGUUCGUAAGCGUGAUGAUUGGCUGUUCAUUCUGUUGUGUGAGAUGUACCUUCCUCAAACCUUGUUAUGACAUCAGCACAUUACCCAUCUGAUG
rfam:Pteropus alecto contig97985, whole genome shotgun sequence.